GGGGCAUAGCUCAGUGGAAGAGCAUCUGCUUUGCAUACAGAAGGUCCCAGGUUAAAUCCAUGACAUUUUCA